AGAUAAACUAUGUACAGUACAAUGGAGAGAAUGUACUUGAAUCUGCUUGGUGCAGUAUUCCUUUCCACGAGAAGGAGUCUCAGGCGUCUCUGUAUUUGAUGGCAGCUUCAACUGUUGUAUACUUCAUCAUUCCUCUGGUUCUUGUAGUGGCUCUGUAUCUCAGGAUAGGAUUAACCAUGAAGCGCAGCAAGAUGCAGCGCUGUGCGGCAUCCUGCGAAGGGAACGACUGUAAAGCAGAAAGAACUCUUACACAAGGGAGGAGGACUGUAGUCAGGAUGUUAGGUAAUAUCUAAUUUAAGACUUGUAUAUACUAUCCUUGAUAAAGCUUACACAAGGGAGGAGGCCUGUAGUCAGGAUGUUAGGUAAUAUCUAAUUUAAGACUUGUAUAUACUAUCCCUGAUAAAGCUUACACAAGGGAGGAGGACUGUAGUCAGGAUGU